UCAGCGGCGGACGGGUGAGUAAUGCCUAGGAAUCUGCCUGGUAGUGGGGGACAACGUUUCGAAAGGAACGCUAAUACCGCAUACGUCCUACGGGAGAAAGCAGGGGACCUUCGGGCCUUGCGCUAUCAGAUGAGCCUAGGUCGGAUUAGCUAGUUGGUGGGGUAAAGGCCUACCAAGGCGACGAUCCGUAACUGGUCUGAGAGGAUGAUCAGUCACACUGGAACUGAGACACGGUCCAGACUCCUACGGGAGGCAGCAGUGGGGAAUAUUGGACAAUGGGCGAAAGCCUGAUCCAGCCAUGCCGCGUGUGUGAAGAAGGUCUUCGGAUUGUAAAGCACUUUAAGUUGGGAGGAAGGGCAGUAAGUUAAUACCUUGCUGUUUUGACGUUACCAACAGAAUAAGCACCGGCUAACUUCGUGCCAGCAGCCGCGGUAAUACGAAGGGUGCAAGCGUUAAUCGGAAUUACUGGGCGUAAAGCGCGCGUAGGUGGUUUGGUAAGAUGGAUGUGAAAUCCCCGGGCUCAACCUGGGAACUGCAUCCAUAACUGCCUGACUAGAGUACGGUAGAGGGU
rnacentral:rRNA from 1 species